rnacentral:lncRNA from 1 species
CCCAUUUGAGUGUGUCAAAGUUACCUAAGAGCCUCAAUGGGACUCCGGGAAAUGCUCACACCCAAAUAUUCUAUUAGAAUAGGGACAAGUGCAGUGUGGAAGGGCCAACCCUCAGGUGUCCAAGUUUAGAGGGAGCUUAAAGGGUCCCAAGGCAAGGCUCACAAGAGGGGGGGGGAGGGGGGGAGGGGGGUAUAACUUAAAGACUAAGAAAGUGUGCAAGUGAAGAACAUAAUGCUAAAGGGAAAGGAGAAGGAAACAACUACAAAUAAGCACACAUAAGGGAUUUAGGGGAAUAGAGGGAUUGCAAAGAGCCUAUUACUUAGGCAAGGGCAGACUUUAGGCAUGCCCAAUAAUGGAGAGUGCUAGCAUACCUAUAAGCCUGCUAGAACACACAUUACUAGAGGCUAAGAUCCCAUGGGAUCAAGUUGAAUCAUGGACAAUAAUUUGCAGUAUUGCCAUGCUUCAAACCACAACUUAAACACAUAGGGGUAGGGGUUUUGGAUUCAUAGUAGAACAUGCAGAGAGAAACUUCAGCAUGCUAGAAUAAAUGUUGAACUAUAUAGAAACAGUAAACAAACAUGGAUAUAAAGGUAGUAAAUAAAUACAUUGUUGUAGUGCUGAAACCUUAAAUAAGGACAUACAAUUUUCAAAGAAGAAAAUAGAGUAAAGUAGGCAGCAAGACUUGUAAAUAGGCCAUAGUACAAGUAACAAGAGAGAAUACUUCUGAGUAUGAGCAUAAGUUCAGAAAGACUAUGAGUAUUGGUGUGUAGAAAAUACUAAGAGUCUUUGUGUGUUUUGUCAAUGAAAGAGUCAGGUAUUUAUUAGUGUGAAAAACAUGCAGAAAUAAGGUAAGAAAAUAAUUAAGGAACUGGGUAUCAAUUAAAACCAAUCAGUACAAUACUUCCUUUAAUUAAGGACUUCAGACUUAAACGGUAAUAAUAAAAAAUUAUUUAAGGAAAGAAACUCAAGAAGCAUCUUGUGCAAAGUAGGCAAUUAGGGGUAAAUACAUAGGGGUUUAUUUAGGGGAAGAAUUUUGAAAUACAUGGUUAAAACAAAAUAAGGUAAGAAUCAAUUAGUACAUAGUAAAUCAAGGAGUUAGAGGUAUGUAAUUAUUGGUCAUGAAUAAACCAAGUCAGAAAGGGCUAAGGAAAGUUUUUGACUCAAAUCGAGUAACAGGGAAAUCAACAAACAAGGAGAAAAAUCAGCUAGGCUUAUACAAAAGAGGCAUGACAUUAAUAAAAAUUGAAAGCCAUUUUAGAGGGGAGUUCAGCACAUAUAAAGAGAACACAAGUAUGCUAGGCUGAAUUUAGGGCAAAGAAAAACGUCAUGCAAUUGCAAAAUCAAUACGUAGUAAACUAUGGUAGUCACAUAGGUCAGCAAUGUAGACGAGAGAUAUUAUCAAAUGGCAUAGGUUCCAGUAGAAAGACCUUAGAAGAAUUUAGUAGGGAAUCAUAACCAUGUAAAGAAACAGAGGUCAAAGCCUAAUCGAGUAGUAGAUUUCAGAAACUCAAAAUAGGUUCAAAGGGGUUAGAGUUUGAAAUCAAACAAGUUCAGAGAUGAAGUACAAAUAAAUCAUACAGCCAAUGGUCUCAAAACUCGAAUGGAUCUCUAAAUUUAGGUUUCUUGCCAUCAAUCAAGUGCAGAGAUGCAAGGAGGAAAAUAUACUAUGAAACAAGUUCAGAGGUCUCAGAAAGGAACUUAGACCUUUAACAUGCUCUUUCAAUAGCGAAACUCACGAGAAACAUAGUCAAAAACAACAUAGGAAACACAGUAGAAGAACUAGUAAGAACACAGUAGAAAAAGCAUAUAAAGAAAC